GCCUGGGUGGCUCAGUUGGUUGAGCAUCUGACUCUUGAUUUUUUUCAGCUCAGGUCAUGAUCCCAAGGUCGUGGGAUUGAGCCCCAUGUCAGGCU
rnacentral:tRNA from 1 species